rnacentral:rRNA from 1 species
AUUGAACGCUGGCGGCAUGCCUUACACAUGCAAGUCGAACGGCAGCACGGGAGCUUGCUCCUGGUGGCGAGUGGCGAACGGGUGAGUAAUACAUCGGAACGUACCCUGAAGUGGGGGAUAACGUAGCGAAAGUUACGCUAAUACCGCAUAUUCUGUGAGCAGGAAAGAGGGGGAUCGCAAGACCUCUUGCUUUAGGAGCGGCCGAUGUCGGAUUAGCUAGUUGGUGAGGUAAAGGCUCACCAAGGCGACGAUCCGUAGCGGGUCUGAGAGGAUGAUCCGCCACACUGGGACUGAGACACGGCCCAGACUCCUACGGGAGGCAGCAGUGGGGAAUUUUGGACAAUGGGCGCAAGCCUGAUCCAGCCAUGCCGCGUGAGUGAAGAAGGCCUCGGGUUGUAAGACGUCUUCGUGGGAGAAU